rnacentral:lncRNA from 1 species
UCGCUCGCUGUCGUCAGUGCUAGGAACCUGCGCCCGGCUGAGCUGAGCGAGGCGAGAGGAGAAAGCGAGGCCCGGGGACGGGACUGAGAGCUCUGAAAGGAGGGAGGCGGCUCCCGAGUACUCCGCGCGGGGCAGGCCCCGGCCUCGCCUCUUCGCCCAUUUUUAAGGCUCGAGUUAGAGGCCACCUCCUCCGAGAAGCCUUCGGUGACACCACCUCUCCCAGACGGUUCCCCUUUCUGAUUCCCACAGCAUUUUCCAACCAUUCACGGUCAGAACCACUCACCAGGACGUGUUGUCACCAUUUUACCGCUUUGCCUCGUCUCUUAACUAGACGAAAUGGGUUCCUUUUGGCUCUUUGGAAAGGGAGGCUGUCUUCUAUUUAUUUCCGUGGUAAUCCCACCUCCCACAACAAGUUCCAUUCUACAGCAAUGUCUUUUCUCUUGCUGAGAACCAUUCAAGUCUAAGUUUUCUGCCGUCUUCCUUCCUCAUUGUGGUUUGGACCUUCUCGAGAAAGAAUCUGGCCUCAGUCUCCCUCUUCCACACUCAGGGACCGCCACCAUCACAGGCACUCGGUAGAUGUCUGCUGAAUGAGGAUAACUUCUACCCAACACCGUGAAGCCUGGCCCAGGGUCUGGCAUACAGAUGCCGUGUUUGUAAGUCCUGGUUGCUCAUCUCGCCCACUUGCACAGCCCACCUGUGUGGCCGACUCAGGAUUGACCCACCUGCUCUCUUCAGGCCAUAUUCCCACGCAGAAGUGGGUCCCACUCCUCAGGCCUCUGUGCUGGCCCCGUCUGUGGGGUUAGCAAGCAGCCCUGCUCUCCAUUUCCAGCUCAGAAGCAACUGGAUCGUUACCUCAUUGGUGACAACUUGACUGUGCUGCCCAGAGCUGAUAAGAAACAUCACCCGGGGAAGACCAGCUGCCUCUUCCUUGCUUCCUAAUCAGGGUGGAAAUACUGCUAAAUAUAUCACAACUCUUUGCAAGCAUCGUUGGGAGACCCCAACCUUCACUAAAGCCCAUGAUGUAUAUACAGACCUUGUAAGGAAUUCAUAUGAAGAAACAAGAGACAGGCCUGACACGGCUCACAACAGUGAGAGCGCUCAGGGUCAGCAGGAUGAUUCCCAAAAGGAACUGACUUGAGAUCCCAAAGCCAGAGGCACUGAUGAGAAGGAAUGUCUUCUCCACCCUCCAUCCCCACUUCCAGGGGAAUCUGGAAUAUUUUGAGGAAAACUAUUGGAUCACUCAUCGAUCUUCGAAUAAAACAUUGAACCAAUCUUGCCCAGCACCUAAAGAGCAGUUGGGCACAGCUGACGAACAGUUUACCCACUGGGAGCAUGGAAUUAGGUGUCACCUUCAAAUACCUGAUGUUUAAUGAGGACAACCAUCUCCAAAGGGAGGAUACCUGCCUGCCCACUGUGCAGUCUACUUCUUGGCUACCUAGCACAGUCCUCCCUGAGAGAGGGUUCCGUGGGGGCUCGUUGAAGCCAAUGAGUGGGGAGGAGAAAUGCUGCAGAAAUUUACCAUGUCUGGCUGGCCCUAUGGCUCACUGCCAUUUAUGUAUGGGUCACAUGGGUCACAAAUCAAUCACUUGACCUCGUGAUCUGGAUACCUUUUGUCGUCUUUGUCCUAGAGUGAUAAGAGGAAGGAGAUUUAGUCCCCACCCUCAGAGGUAGAGAGUGUGGGUUCUUCAUUCUGACUGGGGAGAAACGGUUCCUGCCCACAGGACGCUGCAAGUUCCCAAGGAGGGAGAAGCAUCCACAUCGAGGACACAGACGCAAAGCUGCCAGGAGACAGGCAAAUAUGGGCAGAGCCACACUGCACAAACACGAUUCACAAUUAACCAAGGAGUUGGAGUGAAGGUGUCAGCAGGAAAUAGCUUGUUGGGCCUGGGAGUUUUGAGCUGAGCUGGAUUUGGAAGGAAAGAGUUCUUACUAGCAGCAACAGAAGACAGUCAUGUGCUGCACAGUGUCCAGUACUGUGCGAGGCGUUUGCACGAUGACCGCUCACCCGCGGUUCCCCUCCCUGCUGGAAGGAUCAUCUCCAGCAUGCUCACCACUUGCUUACUAACAGAGGCCCCAGACAAACAGCUCGCCACAGUACACACAAGAGGCAAACUCCAGAUGACUUUAUUUACACAGCUUAAGCUUUUCAACAGGGUCAAAGGGCAUUCUCACAGCACAUGGGUGUGGCCCGGGAAAGGCAGGUUCUGGAGGGGGCUCCUGAACAGGUUCCUCCUCCCUGGCACCAAGUGACCACCUGUAAGUCUGAAUAGCACUUUACAGCUUGCAAAGCUGUUUUACACCAAGCAGAACACUCAUCUAGUCCUUACAAGGCUCGAGGGCAGUAUCCUCCAUAUUUUAUGGAGAAGGAAGCUGGGGCCUGAAGAAUUAUGAGACAAAUUUAAGGCCCCAAGGCAGAGGCAAGGAUGUCCUUUCUACCACCCAACAGUGGCCUAGCAUCACAGCCUUCCGGCCGUAGACUUUGGGAUGCAGAGCAUUCAGGGACUAUCAGAGUGCAUCAGUGAAAGGCCACCUGGUCAUCUGCAUUUCAAUCUAGCUCUGCACAUUUCAUGAGAAACCCAAAGAGGGAGGAUGCAGAGCGACAGCGUCUGGGAAGGCUGCCCGCCUGGGCUCUGGCUCUUGAGAGGAGACAGGGAGGCUGGCCUCCCUUUUCCAAAUGCGGGUCACCUUUGCCCCGGCCUGGGCAUUGUUUGGGAGAGGAGAGCCUGGCCCUUGAUGGCUGGCAGCUGUUGCCCUCCCCAAGAGCGCCCCUGCCCUGCCGGCCCCUCCGGAGUCUGUGCCCAUAUAAGGGAAGCACUUCCCGGCAGCUGAGGUAGAGGCUGUGACGCCCCCAGUCCACGUCAGCGGCCGGCGGGAGGCGGGAAAGCCCAGCAGAAAAACAAGUGACGCGGCGCGGGAGGGAGGCGGUGGGUGGCAGGUGGCGGGAGGGAGUGGCCGCGCCUGCCUCGUUAACCCCUGCCCAGGCAGCUGGAGCCAAGGACUGAGCGCAGCCAGCCAAGGUUGUGGGCUGUCUUUGCCCUUCUGUGUGAAUGGGGGUGUGGAGUGGGGAAAGUCGGGGGCCAGGGGCUGCGCUGGUGACACCUGCCUGAGCACUUCUGUCCUGGGGUGGGUGCAGGUGUUUGUGCUCUGGAGGACCUGCUCUUUGGGCGUCCAAAUGUGUUUCACAGCCUGUGCAUUUUGCCUGGUGGUGUCAAGGACGCAUAUGACAUGGACAGCCAUGGUGUGUAUUUUUACUGCAGAGCCCAGGGAUUUUCCCAUAGGUGUUUAAAGACAAUCACAUCUCCUAUUGAAACUCAAUCUCUUCUGUCCUGAAACAAGCAAAUAAAAAGAAAAACUGGCAUCUGUGUUUCCAGAGAAUCCCAGAAAGUCUCAGAAGAGGCACUGCUGUAAGGCGACUGGCUUCUCAUUAGCCAAGUGGCCUCCCCAUGUCUUCCCCAGACCAGUCAAAUAAAAAGGUCUGGCCUAGGGGCUGACGGAGAAGCAGCCUGAAAAACGAGGGUUUCCAGAGGCCUCCUGCCAGGCAGAGGCCAAGAAAAAAACAGAAAAGGAAGAGAAACUGCGAUGAGAACUCAGGGCUCAUCAUGGAGCCUUCACUGUCCUGGGGCAGGUUGGGGGAGGCGCUCUGAUUUCUGAGUCCAGCUGAGCACUCAGAUAAAGCCUGUUGGAGUGCUGUUCUCAGAGGCCUGCCUCGUCUCGCCUGAAAUUAUGGGUGUGCGUGCCUGCCUGUGGUGGGUUGGGGAGUAAAUUGGGUAGCUCAGCCUCCGGGGAAAGUCCCCAGGGCCUCCCAACCAUCCCUUCACACCCACAGUGCUUAGCCACCCACAUUCGCUCCUCUAUCUAAGGUCUACUUCCUCUCUCUACUUCCCCUGGCCCAGUCUCUCCACGGUAGAGAGUUGUCUGGGGGGACAACUCACCCCAUCCCCAAGCUCUGGGUGCUGUGAUAGAGUGGGAGUUUGAGGCAUGAAAAAUAGCUAGUGGCCCUCCUUGGCAGGGCAUUGGCCGAGGAUGUGGCAAGUUUGCUUUGGCUGUGGGCACGGUCCCUGUCUCUGAG